UUCGCUAGUAAUCGCGCAUCAGCCAUGGCGCGGUGAAUACGUUCCCGGGGCCCUUGUACACACCGCCCGUCAAGCCAUGGGAGCCGGGGGUGCCUGAAGUUCGUGACCGCAAGGAGCGACCUAGGGCAAAACUGGAGACUGGGGCUAAGUCGUAACAAGGUAUC
rnacentral:rRNA from 1 species